rnacentral:rRNA from 1 species
AACGAACGCUGGCGGCGUGCCUAACACAUGCAAGUCGUACGUGAUUGGAAGCUUGCUUCCAUGAAAGUGGCGCACGGGUGAGUAACGCGUAGAUAAUCUACCUGAUGGAUCGGGAUAACACUUCGAAAGGGGUGCUAAUACCGGAUAAGCCCACGGAGUCCUUGGACACUGCGGGAAAAGGAGGGGACCUUCGGGCCUUCCGUCAUCAGAUGAGUCUGCGUACCAUUAGCUAGUUGGUAGGGUAAAGGCCUACCAAGGCGACGAUGGUUAGCUGGUCUGAGAGGAUGAUCAGCCACACUGGAACUGAGACACGGUCCAGACUCCUACGGGAGGCAGCAGUGGGGAAUUUUGCGCAAUGGGGGAAACCCUGACGCAGCAACGCCGCGUGAGUGAUGAAGGCCCUUGGGUCGUAAAGCUCUGACAGAGGGAAAGAAAUGUGGGUGGCUAAUAUCCAUUCCACUUGACGGUACCCUCAAAGGAAGCACCGGCUAACUCCGUGCCAGCCGCCGCCGUAACAC